rnacentral:rRNA from 1 species
AUUGAACGCUGGCGGCAUGCCUUACACAUGCAAGUCGAACGGCAGCACGAGAGCAAUCCUGGUGGCGAGUGGCGAACGGGUGAGUAAUGUAUCGGAACGUGCCCAGUCGUGGGGGAUAACGUAGCGAAAGCUACGCUAAUACCGCAUACGAUCUAUGGAUGAAAGCGGGGGAUCGCAAGACCUCGCGCGAUUGGAGCGGCCGAUAUCAGAUUAGGUAGUUGGUGGGGUAAAGGCUCACCAAGCCGACGAUCUGUAGCUGGUCUGAGAGGACGACCAGCCACACUGGGACUGAGACACGGCCCAGACUCCUACGGGAGGCAGCAGUGGGGAAUUUUGGACAAUGGGCGCAAGCCUGAUCCAGCAAUGCCGCGUGCAGGAUGAAGGCCUUCGGGUUGUAAACUGCUUUUGUACGGAACGAAACGGUGAGCUCUAAUACAGUUUGCUAAUGACGGUACCGUAAGAAUAAGCACCGGCUAACUACGUGCCAGCCGCCGCAGUAA